AGGGUCCAUGGUGGAUGCCUAGGAGCCGCUGUGCGAUGAAGGCCGUGGUAAGCUGCGAUAAGCCGCGGGGAGGAGCACACAUCCCGAGAUCCGCGGAUGGCCGAAUGGGGUAACCCGACGGGCUGGAUGUCCGUCAUCCGUGUCUGAAUCCAUAGGAUACGGAAGGCACACCCAGGGAACUGAACCAUCUCAGUACCUGGAGGAGAAGAAAUCAACCGAGAUUCCCCAAGUAGCGGCGAGCGAACGGGGAAUAGCCCAAACCUCGUGCACGUGAUAGUCGUGCAGCGUUGUGUGGUGGGAGUCGUCGAAGUUGAGAAACCCGCCGCGUAGUGGAACGCCACUGGGAAGGGCGACCAGAGAGGGUGAAAGUCCCGUACACGGCAUGCGUGUGGGCUUCGCAGGACAGGAACCUGAGUACCGUGGGGCUCGAGAAACCCUGCGGGAAGCUGGGAGGACCACCUUCCAAGGCUGAAUACGGAAGCGGCUACCGAUAGUGAAACAGUACCGUGAGGGAAAGGUGAAAAGGACCCCGAGAGGGGAGUGAAAUAGAAUCUGAAACCGUGGACCUACAAGCGGUCAGCGGGGGUAGCAAUACCCCUCAUGGCGUGCCUAUUGCAUAAUGAACCGGCGAGUUACGGUGUGCAGCGAGGUUAAGGCAUCUGAAGUGCCGAAGCCGCAGGGAAACCGAGUCACAAAUGGGCGAAUAGUUGCACGACGUAGACCCGAAGCUGAGUGAUCUAUCCAUGGCCAGGCUGAAGCGCUGGUAACACAGCGUGGAGGGCCGAACGGUAGUCCGUUGAAAAGGGCACUGAUGAGCUGUGGAUAGGAGUGAAAGGCUAAACAAACUCAGAGAUAGCUGGUACUCCCCGAAAUAACUUUAGGGUUAGCCUCACCCGGCAUGUAACGGAGGUAGAGCACUGGAUGGACUAGGGGUCUUUACGGGCUACCAAACCCAACCAAACUCCGAAUGCCGUUACAGUAGAGGUGGGAGUUAGACUGCGGGCGAUAAAGUUCGUGGUCGAGAGGGGAACAGCCCAGACCGUCGACUAAGGUCUCCAAGAUUGGGCUAAGUGGAAAAGGAAGUACGACUGCCCAGACAGCCAGGAGGUUGGCUUAGAAGCAGCCACGCCUUGAAAGAGUGCGUAACAGCUCACUGGUCGAGUCGUCGUGCGCUGAUAAUACACCGAGGCUCAAGCUUGGAACCGAAGUCACGGGUUGCGUCGCUUACGCGCCGCAGCGGUAGGGGAGCAUUCCGUAUGCCGAUGAAGGGGCAGUCGCGAGACGCCCUGGAGGUGGCGGAAGGGAGGAUGCCGGUAUGAGUAACGAAAAGACAGGUGAAAAACCUGUCCGCCGAAAGCCUAAGGUUUCCUGGGUAAAGGUAAUCUUCCCAGGGUGAGUCGGCCCCUAAGGCGAGGCCGAAAGGCGUAGUCGAUGGGAAACGGGUUCAUAUUCCCGUACCUCUGACAGUAGAUACCGAAGGGAUGACGCGUGAGGCAAGGCUCGGCCGCAGAACGGUAGUUGCGGUGAAAGCUCCAAGCCUUUGAGGCGCACCGUCAAGUACGUGCGCUGAGGUAAGGGGUGAAGACCAGCCAAGCGGGAGCGAGGCGAAGCGGGCGGCGUCAAGGCGCCAAGAAAUAAUUCCUAAGGUGUGGCAGUCAGGGACCGUACUGGAAACCGACACAGGUAGGCGGGAUGAGUAUUCUCGGGCGCUCGAGUGAAUCCGCGUCAAGGAACUCGGCAAUCUACACACGUAACUUCGGGAUAAGUGUGGCCCCCUGGGGAUGAGCAAUCGUUUCAGGGGGGUUGCAGAGAAAUGGCCCAAACGACUGUUUAACAAAAACACAGGUCUCUGCGAAUCUCCAAAGAGAGGUAUAGGGACUGACACCUGCCCGGUGCCGGAAGGUUAAGAGGAGGAGUUAGAAGGCCGCAAGGCCGACGAAGCCCUGAAUUCAAGCCCCGGUAAACGGCGGCCGUAACUAUAACGGUCCUAAGGUAGCGAAAUUCCUUGUCGGGUAAGUUCCGACCUGCACGAAAGGUGUAACGAGUUGGGCGCUGUCUCGACGCGGAGCUCGGUGAAAUUGUAGUAUCGGGGAAGGUGCCGAUUACCCAUGGUUAGACGGAAAGACCCUGUGAACCUUUACUGUAGCCUGGCAUGGGGAUUUGACUUGCCACGUGUAGGAUAGGUGGGAGGCGAUGAGGCCGGGGCGCUAGCUUCGGCGGAGCCGUUGGUGAAAUACCACCCUUGGUUGGUUAGGUUUCUAACCCCGUUUCUGGAAACGAGGCGGGGGACAGUGUCAGGUGGGCGGUUUGACUGGGGCGGUCGCCUCCCAAAAGGUAACGGAGGCGCGCGAAGGUACCCUCGCGCCGGUUGGAAAUCGGCGUACGAGUGCAAAGGCAUAAGGGUGCCUGACUGUGAGACGUACAUGUCGAGCAGGGGCGAAAGCCGGUCUUAGUGAUCUGGCGGUGGUGCGUGGAAGCGCCGUCACUUAACGGAUAAAAGGUACUCCGGGGAUAACAGGCUGAUCUUGCCCAAGAGUCCACAUCGACGGCAAGGUUUGGCACCUCGAUGUCGGCUCAUCGCAUCCUGGGGCUGGAGCAGGUCCCAAGGGUUUGGCUGUUCGCCAAUUAAAGCGGUACGUGAGCUGGGUUCAGAACGUCGCGAGACAGUUCGGUCCCUAUCUGCCAUGGGCGUUGGGUGCUUGAGAGGAGCUGUUCCUAGUACGAGAGGACCGGAAUGGACGAACCUCUGGUGUGCCAGUUAUCGUGCCAACGGUAUGCGCUGGGUAGCCAAGUUCGGAAGGGAUAACCGCUGAAAGCAUCUAAGUGGGAAACCCUCCUCAAGAUGAGGCACCCCCGGGGCUUAAAGCCCCCUGAAGGUACCUGGGAGAGAACCAGGUCGAUAGGCUGGAGGUGUACGCGCGGCAACGCGCUCAGCCCACCAGUACUAAUCCACCGUGAGGCUUGACC
rnacentral:rRNA from 1 species